CAUUCCUUCUUAGAGUAUGUCCCUAAGCCUAGAUCAACACCACAAUGCUUGGCCAAGAUAGCAGUGGGCAGGAUAUGGUCAGAGUGGUGGGCAGGGUGCCUGUAGGCAACAUUAAUUCCCAGUUGGGUGUUUCAUGGACCAGAGCCUCCAGCAGAAACAAAGCAACCAGUGGGUAAACUGAGAAGUCCGACCUAGCCAUGAGCCCCAUGGCCUACCAGAGCUCUCCAUGCUGAUUCCACUGUGAUUUUGCCCCCAGCUUCACAGACUGUUUCUCUUUUUUCCCAGGUCUCUCCCCUCCUUUGCAGGAUGUGCUGAGGAUUUCAGUGGUUGCUGUGGUCUUUGCUGCUGUCUCAGGAUGGGGCAUAAUUUUUCCUGUCUGCCAGUCUGAAAAGCUAAGAAUAAGGGGAGAGCUGUGGAGGUGGCUCAGUGUCUACACCUGUGUGCUGGUGUGCAUCUCCUCCAUCUUAGCUGGUACUGCUGGGCUGCUCUGGAUGAGAGAAGAAGGCCCAUCUGUUGCUGUCAUACUGCCAGAGAUUUUCCUUUUGUAUGUGACUGUCAUCACCUUCCUAGUGGCCUCUACCGUGACAUUCCAGCCUACAAAGCUCGUCCAGCUUAAAAGCACAGCAGCACAGCGCACGAUGGGCUACGCUGCUCCAGGAGGGGUGCUCUUGGUGGUGCUGACGAGCAGCUUCCACAUGAAGAACAUCCACCAACGCCAUGAAGAAGGCUGUGCAGCAUUCAUGGAUGUCACCACCCUUGUGGUCAGCACAGCAGCAGUGUUGGCCCUGCCAAUCCUUGCCAUCUUCCUCUGUUAUCACACCACACAGGGGUGGCUGCAGGAACACAACUCCAGUUGUGCAGACAAGGAAAGGUCCUUUGAGAUGUCCCUGCCCAUCAGCAAGGAUCCUGAUUUAAUCUCCUAG
rnacentral:lncRNA from 1 species